GACGAACGCUGGCGGCGUGCCUAAUACAUGCAAGUUGAGCGCUGAAGGUUGGUACUUGUACCAACUGGAUGAGCAGCGAACGGGUGAGUAACGCGUGGGGAAUCUGCCUUUGAGCGGGGGACAACAUUUGGAAACGAAUGCUAAUACCGCAUAAAAACUUUAAACACAAGUUUUAAGUUUGAAAGAUGCAAUUGCAUCACUCAAAGAUGAUCCCGCGUUGUAUUAGCUAGUUGGUGAGGUAAAGGCUCACCAAGGCGAUGAUACAUAGCCGACCUGAGAGGGUGAUCAGCCACAUUGGGACUGAGACACGGCCCAAACUCCUACGGGAGGCAGCAGUAGGGAAUCUUCGGCAAUGGACGAAAGUCUGACCGAGCAACGCCGCGUGAGUGAAGAAGGGUUUCGGAUCGUAAAACUCUGUUGGUAGAGAAGAACGUUGGUGAGAGUGGAAUGCUCAUCAAGUGACGGUAACUACCCAGAAAGGGACGGCUAACUACGUG
rnacentral:rRNA from 1 species